UACGUAGGGUGCGAGCGUUGUCCGGAAUUAUUGGGCGCAAAGGGCUCGUAGGCGGUUUGUCGCGUCGGGAGUGAAAUCCACUGGCUUAACUGGUGGCUUGCUUUCGAUACGGGCAGACUGGAGGUAUGCAGGGGAGAACGGAAUUCCUGGUGUAGCGGUGAAAUGCGCAGAUAUCAGGAGGAACACCGAUGGCGAAGGCAGGUCUCUGGGCAUUAACUGACGCUGAGGAGCGAAAGCAUGGGGAGCGAACAGG
rnacentral:rRNA from 1 species